AUGAAGCCCUCGGCACAAGAUGAUAUAGCUAGCCCAUCACAUGAACCGGAUGAUCCUCCAGCUCCGCCACAUGAACCGGAUGAUGCUCCAUCACAGGAACAAAAUGAUGCCUUGGCAGAUGAAGGUCUAUCCCAUAACAUGUGGAAUUCAUCUCAAGAUCUAGAAGAAAUCAAUUGGGAAGAGGAAAUUCAAUCUGAUCUUGGCAAAAGGAGAAGCAUAGAUGAGUAUCCUCCUAAUCUAAGGGAUGUGUCAACCAAAGACUCAUUGAAUGAUUUAAGGAGGAAUGGUUGGGAAUUAGCCUUGGGUGAAGCAUAUGCAUUUUGUGAAAAACAUGAGAUUUCCAAGUUGGAGAUGGCAGAGCAAUAUGUCAAUCCAAAGAAGCCAUGUCAAAAAACAGGUAUCACUAAUAAGCAUCAUUAUGAAGUGAAUUGUUUCAAUGAUGUUAUUGAUUGGCUGCUUCAAGAACUUGAUAGCCGAUUUAAUGAGAAAAAUUCUAAGCUACUAAUAUGCUUAGCUGCUUUGAGCCCAAAAAAAUCAUUCAAGGAUUUCAAUUUAGAGCAUUUGAUGGAUCUAGCUAGACUUUAUCCAAAAGAUUUUGAUGAUGGAGAAUUGAGGGACCUGAAACAUCACCUCCGUCUUUACAUAGCUGAUGUUCGAGUAGAUGAUCGCUUCUCUAGCAUAAAUAAUAUUUGUGAGAUCUCUCAAAAAAUGGUGGAGAUAAAGAAACAUAUUGUGUAUCCUUUGGUCUACCGGCUUGUGAAUUUGGCACUUGUAUUGCCUGUUGCCACUGCUAUAGUUGAGAGAUGUUUUUCGGGCAUGAAACUUGUGAAGACAUUUUCGCGCAAUCGUCUUGGUGAUGAUGCAUUGAAUCAUGACCUUAUUUGCUAUGUGGAGAAAGAAGAAAUGAGAGAAGUUACCAAUGAUGUAGUCAUUGAUCGCUUUGAGGUCAUGAAUGAACGUAGAGGGCUAUUUUAA
rnacentral:rRNA from 1 species